UGAAGAGCUAUGUACUGUUCUCACUCAG
rnacentral:sRNA from 1 species